GGAUUUCCGGCGACCUGACCGGCGAUCGCCGCCUGGGUCGCCGGACCUUCUGGAACGUUGGGAAAGACGCGGCGAUCGCCGCGUUACGAAGGAUUUUUGUGCUUGGGCCGGCGACCGCCGGAUGGGUCGCCGGGCAGGUCGCCGGCUACCCGGAUUUUUCAGUUUUGCGCGUUUUUGGUGUUCUUCUGGGUUUCAAACUCUGUAUUUUACCCUGGUACUAUAAAUAGGUCUUCUUAUGACCUAUUUUGGGUUCCUUUUUCAGUUCCCAACUUUUAUUUUUCAAUUUUCAUAGCUUUAGAAUUUAUUUCUUUUCCAGUUUUUACUGUCUUGGAUUGGAUUUCCACAAGAUUGAAGAUUCAAGUCGCUACAAUAGUUUUCAUUCAGUUUUUAUUUAAUUUAGUUUUUUACAAUUUGCAUUCUUUUUAAUUAUGUUUAUAUUUUAUUUCAGUAUGUCUGGCUAGUUUCGUUUAGCUGAUUCUAGGGUUUGUAAAUAGUUGAUUGAAUUUAUGUGAUUUAUUUGUUAAUACCUUUGUGCCUUCCAGUUUAUGAUUCAUAAUUCCUGGUGCUUAAUUUCUUGUGAAUUAUCUGAUCAAUAGUUUGCAUGUUUAGCUAUUCGGUUUGAGACCUAGCGGAGAUAACUGUUUAGCGGAUUCAGGAAUGUAUGAUAUGAUUUUAACCUUGAGACCUAGCGGAGAUAGGUGGAUCAUAGGGAGCUAUUCUUAGGAGCUAUUGGGAGUUAGUAGAUUUUCUUGAGACCUAACGGAGAUAGAUAAUUUACUAAUCUACGAUCGUUGCUGCUCUAGCGAGAGUGAUUGAUUAAUUAAGUGAUCUCUCAUCAUAACUGGAUUAAACUGGUACAUAGGAUUAAUAGAUUUAUUAUGUGGAUUUAGUUAAUGAAUUUACUACCCUAGGAUCAGUUGUCUUUUAAUAUUCAAAUUUUCUUACGUGUUUAGAUUUAUUGCGUUUUAGUUUAAGUUAAUUAAACCUUCCUGCUUUCGUUUACCUGCAUACUGUGAGGGUCUGUUUAGGAGAUAGAUAAAGUAAUUUCGUUUUACAGUCUCUGUGGAUACGAUACUCUGCUUGCUAUUUCUGUGCUACGAUUACACCGUGUUAGUUGCGGUAUUUGCUGCUAAGAAAUUAGCAGCAAAUACAGUAAAACGAAAUAAAAAGUUGAUUUCAGGGUUUAACUCAAAGAGAGGAGUCCCGUGAGAUCGUGUGUUCAUAUGCAACCUACUGAAACAGCAAAAAGAUCAGAAAAUAAAAAUAAAAACAAAUAAAAACUUGCAGUACUAUUAAGUCCUAUUGGAAAUAUUAAAGCAAAAUCUAAUACAGUCCCCGGAAACGAAAACAUCGCGCGCAGCAGUCAGAAUCCGGCGGUCAAACACCGUUGACCACCGCCCGAAGAAGGAUUUCCGGCGACCUGACCGGCGACCGCCGGAUGGGUCGCCGGAUCUUCUGGAACGUUGGAAAAGACGCGGCGAUCGCCGCCAGAUGAAGGAUUUUUGUGCUUGGGCCGGCGACCGCCGGAUGGGUCGCCGGGAAGGUCGCCGGCUACCCGGAUUUUUCAGUUUUGCGCGUUUUUGGAGUUCUUCUGGGUUUCAAACACUGUAUUUUACCUUG
rnacentral:lncRNA from 1 species